rnacentral:rRNA from 1 species
CAGUAGCCGCGGUAAUACGUAGGGUGCGAGCGUUAAUCGGAAUUACUGGGCGUAAAGCGUGCGCAGGCGGUUCGUUAAGACAGAUGUGAAAUCCCCGGACUUAACCUGGGAACUGCAUUUGUGACUGGCGAGCUAGAGUAUGGCAGAGGGGGGUAGAAUUCCACGUGUAGCAGUGAAAUGCGUAGAGAUGUGGAGGAAUACCGAUGGCGAAGGCAGCCCCCUGGGCCAAUACUGACGCUCAUGCACGAAAGCGUGGGGAGCAAACAGGAUUAGAUACCCGUGUAGUCCCUGUCUCUUAUAC